rnacentral:tRNA from 2 species
CGAAGUAUAGCAUAUACAAUGCUUUUUACUUACACUAAAAAUAAAACAAACAGUUUACUUCGCUU